GCCCCUGUGGUGUAGUCCGGCCAAUCAUAUUGCCCUCUCGAGGCAAUGACCCGAGUUCAAAUCUCGGCAGGGGCA
rnacentral:tRNA from 1 species